rnacentral:rRNA from 1 species
GUACACGCUGUGACUAGCAUAUCAAUAAGCGGAGGAAAAGAAACUAACAAGGAUUCCCCUAGUAACGGCGAGUGAAGCGGGAAGAGCUCAAAUUUGAAAUCUUAAAGGGUUUCCCUUUACGAAUUGUAGUUUAAAGAAGUGUUUUCUGUUGAGGUUUUGGUAAAAGUUCUUUGGAAUAGGACAUCAUAGAGGGUGAGAAUCCCGUAUUUGACCUUUACUUUCAACUUUGUGAUACACUUUCAAAGAGUCGGAUUGUUUGGGAAUGCAGUCCAAAAUGGGUGGUAAAUUUCAUCUAAAGCUAAAUAUUGGCGAGAGACCGAUAGCGAACAAGUACCGUGAGGGAAAGAUGAAAAGAACUUUGAAAAGAGAGUUAAACAGUACGUGAAAUUGUCAAAAGGGAAGCGUUUGACACCAGUGUUGUUUUUCUGAAAAUCAAUUAAAGAACUGUUUAUGCUAAGUUGUUUAGACUUUAUCAGCUAUCCUGUUUAGUUUUGAGCUUUUCUUUAAUGCACUUUUCAGUUAACAAGUCAACAUCAAUUUCUUUUGCUGUAAAAAAGCUUGAGGAAGGUGGCUUGAGAUUCGUCUUAAGUGUUUAUAGCCUCUUGCCUAUGCAGUCGGAGAGAUUGAGGUCUGCAGCGUAGAUCCUUCGGGGCUAAAUGCAUUUGUGCUAAGUUAUAGCAUUUUAUAGACAACUUGUUGACUAUGAUUUGUCUUGUAGCUUACUCGCUUAUGUUAUUUUACCUACGCUUAGGAUGUUGAUAUGCAUGACUGAUAU